CGUUAAGACACCGGUUCCCGUACGAUCUUUGAAGUUAAGCAACAUCAGGCUUGGUUAGUACCUCGAUGGGUGACAGCUUGGAAAUACCAGGUGCUGUAAG